rnacentral:ncRNA from 2 species
GGCAGUGACACGGGGUGUCGGAUCAACCGACUGAGAUAAGACCCGUAGAACCUGAUCUAGUUCACGCUAGCGGAGGGAUGUCGCAUGGCUUUGCA